UCGAGGAUCUUUAGCAAUGCCCGAAAGGGUGACUAUGCGACGCCGCGUGCAGGAUGAAGGCCUUCGGGUUGUAAACUGCUGUCAGAGGGGAAGAAACGCUUCAUGUUAAUAGCAUGAGGCUUGACAUUACCCUCAAAGGAAGCCACGGCUAACUCUGUGCCAGCAGCCGCGGUAAGACAGAGGUGGCAAGCGUUGUUCGGAUUUAUUGGGUGUAAAGGGCAGGUAGGUGGCCUCGUAAGUCUGGCGUGAAAUCCCAGAGCUCAACUCUGGAAAUGCGCUGGAAACUACAAGGCUUGAGUGCUGGAGAGGUUAGGGGAAUUCCCGGUGUAAGGGUGAAAUCUGUAGAUAUCGGGAGGAAUACCAGUGGCGAAGGCGCCUAACUGGCCGGCAACUGACACUGAACUGCGAAAGCAAGGGGAGCAAACAGG
rnacentral:rRNA from 1 species